rnacentral:sRNA from 1 species
UCGCCCUGACCGCGAUCGCACACUGCGGA